GACCCCAGGGAAGUGUGUGCAGAGGCCACACGGGGAUGCAGUGAGAAGGCCAUCCGCAAGCCAAGGAGAGAGGCCUCAGAGGACACCAACCCUGUCAACACCUUGAUCGUGGACUUCCAGCAUCGGAAACUGUGAGAAAACAAACCUCUGUUGUUGAAGCCAACCAGUGUGUGGUAUCUGGUUCUGGCAGCCCUCGCAAACCAAUACAUGAGGUAACGGGAGAGCCUCUAGCAAAACACAGCCCUCCAACCAUCCGCCAUGGAAUCACCUGGGGGACCUCGGUUAAAUGGACUUCUGGGCCCACUUAAGACUCACUGGAUAAGGAUCUUUUCAUGGAAAUGUACCCUGUGCAGGCUGGAGAGCCCAGUGACCACAAGCCAUAGAAUCAGUCUGACCUGGGUUCACCUCAGUGUUGCCACUGACGACUAAGUUGACCCUACAAAUGGUCAUCUAAAAGGGGAAAAUUAUGAGAAUGAAGCAGGGUUCUUUAACUAAUUACCCUGAGAAAACAGAUAAAAACUAGGGCUGUCCUUAUACCGGGACCUAUGGCCUCCUCAUUAAAACUGGAAACUGAGUGACGGAGCCGAUCAUUUACACGUUUGCAGUCUCCGUGAAUUAUUUAUAAGCUGUGACUAAUGGUAUUGCCCUCCUAGGGGUGUGGCCAGGAUAAAAGAAAGCCUCCGUAACACUCUCACAUGGUGCAGAGCAAUGGGUUUCUCCCAGGCCCGGUACUAGCGCAUUAGACUAAAAUUAUUACACAGCAGAGACUUUCCUCCCGCGUCAUCACUUUGGGGUCUGUGUGGAUAUAAACAACCAUGACGCUUAUCAUGGAAGUCAAAUGAGAUAAUGCAUCUGUCCCUUCUUAAGACUGGUCCCAGAAUGGCGAUGCUUCCAAAAGAAUAAUAGAUGUAUACUAAAACUCUUGAAGAGUAAUGAGAGACUUUUGGAAGGCUUUUGAAAGGGGGGGCCAAAAAAGGGGUGUUACACUAGACAGUGGCAGCAAAUCCACCCCAACCCUCCUAAAGUGUCACCUUUCCCAGAGUCUCCCUCGUCAUGGUACCUCUCUCACCAGCAUCUCAUUUCCAUUGCCCUCCCUCCUACUACUGGCCUAUAAUCCCCUCCUCUCCCUUUCUGUCCCUCUUCCUUCUUUUGUGCAUGACUCUGAGGCAUUUCUUGGCUUAUUCAUGAGACCUUUCCCCACAUAAGGACGUAAGAGCUGAAGAGCUCAAACAGAGAACCCUCCUUGGAAAGAGGGAGGUAUUAGGUGGGUCCCAGAACCUGGAAGCUAUACAGUCUGGAUCAGCAACACCGGAGUUGCUGCAGUGAAAGCACCACAACGUGGCCACCCUCACUUGGGAUGAGACCCCAGAAUGUCCACCAUCGCAGCACCUGUACACUGGCUUCCCCAGCUUGAGCACGCCUCCUUAGGGUCUGCACUUCUGAUCCAGGCUUGUGCGAAGCCGGUUGGUGGGACCUGAGUCCCAUGUGUACAGUGUGCUGCAAAGGAAUGUGGGACUGUGAGAAGUUGGGGAAUAGCAGGGCUCGUGACAUGAAAACUUACCAAGGGGUUGACAAGGGAGUUGGGGAGCCACAGUGACAAAUGCCUAUACCUAGUCCCCUCCCCUGACAUUCACUAGCUGUGCCACAGUGAGGCAGAUUCCGGUGAACUUACUGUCCAUAUCUGUAAAACCAUCAACAUCUGGUGAGGGAGGAUGUUCUGCGACAAAGACUCUAUUUCCCCUGCAUCCAGGUUCUAACCAUCGAAAUACAGUCCAAGGAGCCAGGCAGGGUUCCAGUGUCAGCUUUGGAAAUGACAGUGAUCAAUAACCCAUAGGGCAAAGCUCUCUGGUAGCUUCUAGGAUGAAGAAUGUCAGGGAAGGGGUUUGCAUACCUCAGCAUACUGGAUCCCUUGUUUGCAGAAGGGGUACCCUGGGUCCCAGGGCUUGGCCACCUCAGGACACACCAGUCACAGAUGGAACAGCCAGACCAUGGCUGGCCUUGUUGGGUAAGGAAUCGGGACACAUGAGCUUCCACUGCACACCCAGGUGCCAGCUUUGAACAGCAGGUUCUGAUGCCUUCAGGAAUCUGUCAGCUGGCCCCAUGCCAGCUCAGCUGCAGGGACGCAGAGAAGCUGAACAAGGGCUUGUAUCAUUAUAGGAACACGUCUUCCCAUGCUAGGGCUUGUAUCAUUAUAGGAACACACCUUCCCUUGCUGGGACUUGUAUCAUUAUAGGAAUACACUUUCCUGUGCUUGGCACUGGUGGCAUGUGAGUGGUAAGGGAGCAACAAGGUUUGAAGCCGAGCCAGAAGCUACCAGAAGCUACUCUGUGUACAAUUAUUCCAGGCAUCAAAGUUAUAGUGAUACAUGCAAUAUUCUGUUUCAUUAACACUUCAUCAAAAUGGAACUAUUUUCCCAUCAGGAAUCAAAAUGCACUUUUUCCUUUUACUAAUGGGGAUUGAACAAAAUCGAAUUUAUGAAAAUUUCUGUGUGGGGAGUCCAAUUCUAUGGUAGAAAUUCGAGGAGUGAGUGCAUCUUUGUGUGAAGUCUCAUGUUGUGUACCCAGCACAGCAGACACGACCUGUUUGAUGAAAUCUAAUGGAUCCAGAGGAAACAGCCUGAAGAAGCAAGUGUGUGUUUAAAGUGCUGGGCACUAAUUAUGCUGGAAUGCCGACCAUCACCAGCACAGGUGUUAUGCCAGAGUCUGCAGAAGUCAACUUCACAAAACGCAAUUCCAUGUAUUCCAGUUCAGCAAAUUGAAUCGGAGCAAUGACAUGAGGCCGUCAUUAAUUCAGAUUGUUGGCAGUGGAGCACCUGCAGAAUUCUGCCUUUGAGGGCUUACAGUUAAAAACUCCUUGCAAACAGGGGUGCUUGGGUGGCGCAGUUGGCCGGGUGGCCUACUCUCGGUUUCAGCUUGGGUUGUGAUCUCGGAGUUGUCAGAUG